rnacentral:rRNA from 1 species
UACGGAGGGGGCUAGCGUUGUUCGGAAUUACUGGGCGUAAAGGGCGCGUAGGCGGAUGUUUAAGUCAGCGGUGAAAGCCCAGGGCUCAACCUUGGAACUGCCAUUGAUACUGGACAUCUUGAGUACGGGAGAGGUGAGUGGAACUCCGAGUGUAGAGGUGAAAUUCGUAGAUAUUCGGAAGAACACCAGUGGCGAAGGCGACUCACUGGCCCGUUACUGACGCUGAGGCGCGAAAGCGUGGGGAGCAAACAGG